AACGCACAUUGCGCCUAGCAGCCAUUCUGCUAGGCAUGCCUGUCCGAGCGUCAUUUCACCACUCAAGCUACGCUUGGUGUUGGAGGACCCACUGAUUCAUAUUGUAUGAUUGGUGGGCCGCCGAAAUGAAUCGGCUGUUUAUAUGCAGUUUCCCUGUGUAGUAAAACUUUAUUUACACUUCGAACCUCUUAUACAGCAUGCCGUAAAACAACCCAAUUUUUCUAGGUUGACCUCGGAUCAGGUAGGAAUACCCGCUGAACUUAA
rnacentral:misc_RNA from 1 species